ACCUUUCAGCAAAAUUUUGUGCCUUCUCUUGAUUUGGUUGUUUGUAUGUUUUCAUUUUCUGAACCACAGGGAGCUCUUAGGGACCUAUCAAGGGCAGCAACCUUGCCGGUGGCACAUAAUUCUCCAUUAAACAAGAAUGAGAAUAAAAAUUCAGAGACCAAUCAGAUAGUGCUUAGAGAUGCUGCUGAAUCAUCAUCAUGAGAGACUUUCAUAUUUUGGUUGCUAAGGAGUGCAAUUCCAUGAAACAAGGGACAUAGGAGACAGUGCUUUCCCCUUGAUGAGAAAUUAUAAGAAGCCUAGUUAUGCGCUUUUUUUGUGGCAAAUAUGUUUAAAUGAGCAUUCUGUAUUUGAUUUAUAUAUAGUUCUUCCUGAGAUUUUGAUUGAGUAGCCAAACUAAGCACUCAGGUAUAGUUUUAAAUGCAUUGUGCAGCGGCUGCCGUUGAUCUGGAUCUCACCGUACGACACCAUUUUCGUUUACUUGGUAUAGUUUUUAUAUGCAUUGAGCAACGGUUGCAGGUUGCAGAUAAGCCAGAUCCAUAUUAUAUUGAGUGCAGUACAGUUAUAUUUUGAGAA